rnacentral:rRNA from 2 species
AGCAUAGCGAUUUGGGAUAAGUCCCUUGGAAAAGGGCAGCAUAGAGGGUGAUACUCCCGUCUCUGCUCAGAUUGUCUGUGUGUACGAUACGCUUUCUUUGAGUCGAGUUGUUUGGGAAUACAGCUCAAAGUAGGUGGUAAAUUCCAUCUAAAGCUAAAUAUUGGUGCGAGACCGAUAGCGAACAAGUACCGUGAGGGAAAGAUGAAAAGAACUUUGAAAAGAGAGUUAAAGAGUACCUGAAACUGUUGAAAGGGAACCGUAUCGUUUCCAGUGUUGAAUCCUAUGCAUAUUUCAUUGGCGGAGUAAUUUGCUGGUGCCCUGUGCAUGGGUGUGACGUCAGAGUCAGUUUGUAUGCUGCGGGAGAUGGUUAGUAAGAAGGUGCGUCACUUCGGUGAAAGUUAUAUCUUGCUAUCUAGUUGCCGUGGUUGAGACUGAGGUGCC